rnacentral:rRNA from 12 species
CCCUGCAGCCAUACCAUCCUGCAAGCACCAAAUUCCAUCUGAUGUCAGACAAUCAGUCUAGUUAGUACUUGGAUAAGAGACUACCUGGGAAUACCAGAUGCCGUAGGCU